rnacentral:rRNA from 1 species
CCUGAGAAACCCAAAAGAUCGAAUGGGGAGAUUCAUCGUCAGCUCAUUUUAUAUAUAUGCUAGUUAUGAUAUGGGUUACUAUUUUGGUAGUAUUGCCUGUACAUUCUUGUAUAUUUAAUUGUAAGAUGUUGUCGGCGUGCACUUCUCCCCUAGUAGGACGUCGCGACCCGUUGAGUUGUUGGUCUACGGCCCAAGUGGGAGCUUUUAAUGAAUUUUAUUUAUUGAAAACCCUUGGUGUUUUCUGACUGGCACUCGUCGGUAUUCGUAUGGUAUUGAGCCGCAUAUUUAUAUGCGUCCAUAUCUGUCGCAAGCGAGGUUAGUUACUGAUAGUACGGACUUAGUGCCGUCGUUGGUGCUAAUCAGCUGUUGGUUGUACAGAAUUCUAGGACUGGCUCAUUGAAAUACCGGUCAGCGAUGCUACUGCUUUGGG